rnacentral:sRNA from 1 species
UUUACGACAUCGCACUCGCCCACUCUUUUGGGGGCUGGUCGAACUUGUUUGGCCCAUUGUUUGGCCUUGGGCCGUGUCAAUAUGAAGCCAUAAACAUAAAUCCGUACGCUAAUAGGCUAGUGUUGGAAUCCUAGAACUCCAAUCUACAGCUCAGGUUCUGGUCGCCAGUAAAUCGCCGAGCCAUAAAAAUCACAUGCAAAUUAUAGUGGCUGAGAGACUAGUCUCAAUGCGAGACUGGCGGGAGCAGCAAGUGAAGCCUGAGAAAUUGUUGCAAUUUGCCGAAGCAGCAGCAGUUCCUGCCACAGUUUCAACUCCAGCAGCGACAAGCAGCCGCUUGCGGCGCUUUAAUAAAGCCCCAAUAAAGCCUUAAACAAAUGAAGUUA